rnacentral:lncRNA from 1 species
CAGACUUGGGCCAUUCUUUAUUCUUUAUUAUUUAUGUAUUAUAUUUGCUUGCUUAUCAUUAUUUGCAUACUUAUCUGUUUAAUUAGUUUUAAGGUUGUCACAAUUCAAUUUUCUUAAGGAUAGCCAUUCUGAAUUGAUAUUUCAAAAUUCACUCAUUUUCUAGUUGACGUUAAAAGAUAAAUAUGCAAAAUAUUUUACUUAAGUAAUAUUUUUAAUAUUCCUCUUCUCCCCUUAAGUUAGCUUUAAAUUUUUCAAAGUUGUUUAAUUUCUCAACUUAUUUAAAGUAUGCAUGUUUUUUUUAAGAGAUUUAGCCAAAUAUUUUAAUUGCCGGAUAACCGCAUUAGCGGAUAUUCUUGGUGCUUUAAAAACCUUCCUAGAGUAUUAAUGAGAACCCCG